rnacentral:rRNA from 1 species
UUCCGUAGGUAACCUGCGGAGGGAUCAUUACAGAGUUGCAAAACUCCCAACCCUUUGUGAACCAACCUACCAGCUGCUCCGGCGGCGAAACUCUUUAUAUUAAUAUCUCUGAUUAUUUAUUUAAUAAGUUAAAACUUUCAACAACGGAUCUCUUGGUUCUGGCAUCGAUGAAGAACGCAGCGAAAUGCGAUAAGUAAUGUGAAUUGCAGAAUUCAGUGAAUCAUCGAAUCUUUGAACGCACAUUGCGCCCGCCAGUAUUCUGGCGGGCAUGCCUGUUCGAGCGUCAUUUCAACCAUCAAGCCCUAGGCUUGUGUUGGAGCCCUGCGGCUGCCGCAGCCUCCCAAAAUCAGUGGCGGGCUCGCUAUUACACCGAGUGCAGUAGUUUACUCUUCGCUCAGGAUGUGUGGCGGGUGCUAGCCGUGAAACCCCCUACUUCUCAAG